UUUGAUGAAGGCCAUGCCGUGUGUCCGUA
rnacentral:piRNA from 1 species